rnacentral:rRNA from 1 species
GUGGGGAAUCUUGCGCAAUGGGCGAAAGCCUGACGCAGCCAUGCCGCGUGGAUGAUGAAGGUCUUAGGAUUGUAAAAUCCUUUCACCGGUGAAGAUAAUGACUGUAGCCGGAGAAGAAGCCCCGGCUAACUUCGUGCCAGCAGCCGCGGUAAUACGAAGGGGGCUAGCGUUGCUCGGAUUUACUGGGCGUAAAGGGCGCGUAGGCGGACAUUUAAGUCAGGGGUGAAAUCCCGGGGCUCAACCUCGGAACUGCCUUUGAUACUGGGUGUCUUGAGUAUGAGAGAGGUGUGUGGAACUCCGAGUGUAGAGGUGAAAUUCGUAGAUAUUCGGAAGAACACCAGUGGCGAAGGCGACACACUGGCUCAUUACUGACGCUGAGGCGCGAAAGCGUGGGGAGCAAACAGGAUUAGAUACCCCUGUAGUCC